rnacentral:rRNA from 1 species
GCUCCGUGCGAGCAAGCGCCGGCUUACUUCGGGCCCGCAGCCGCGGCGAUACGACUGGUGGUAGCGUUAUCCGAAAUUACUGGGCGAAUAGGGUGUGAAAGCCGUUGGCUAAACUCGGGGAGUGCCCCCCGGACUUAACCUGUGAAGUGCGUUUGAAACUGGUGGACUUCCGUGUGUAGAAGUGAAAUGCAUUUCUAUGUGGAGGAAUACAAUUCGUAAAGAUGGGGAAGAACACCAUA